rnacentral:rRNA from 1 species
GUCUACGGCCACGCCACCCUGAACGUGACUGAUCUCGUCUGAUCUUGGAAGCUAAGCAGGGUCGGGCCUGGUUAGUACUUGGAUAGGAGACUACCUAGGAAGACCAGGUGCUAUAGGUG